AUGGAUACACGUUUCUUAAACUGGCAAGAGUCCUCAUCAAGCCUCCUGACAAGGCAACAAGCAGAUGAAUGCCAAUGUUACGUAUCUGAUACCCAUGCAGAUCCUGGGCCUACGCUGUGCCAGCACUGCUGUGGACACCGAGGACUUGGUGGCAAACUGCAUGCUCUCUGCUGUCACAGAGUUUAUGGCAUCGGUAGAGACAGAUGGCCAGCAGACAAAGGUAUAAUUAUAAUUACAAAUUACACGAAGUGCUUAAAAAAAAAGCAAUAACAUAGAAGACAGAAUUCAGCUUGGAGUCAGUCUAGGACGUGACACCAAUUCUAGAACUUAAAACAGGAGCAGGUAAGACCACACUUUGAGUAGCAAGGGGAUAAGGAAUCUAACCCUAGAGUUCAAAUGUUGUGGGGUGAAGGUUUUGAGUACAAUGUAUGUUAUGUAUAUUCAUUUAGAGUCUAAAUUAUUCAUUGGUGUUUAUGGGGGAUAAUAAUGUGUGGAAUUUACAGAGUCCAGACUCAGCAAAGGAGGUACAGAGACCUGGGAAAAAGGUCAAGUGUUCCCUAGUGCUGGGGUCAUCUGAGAGAAACUUGAUAGAGGACAUUGGCUCCACCUAACCCAGGAAGAAGAGUGGGUUAGCCAGCCCUGAGUCAGGGAAAGAGGAGCACCAGAGAAAUGAGCCUCAUACAGUGAAGGGCUACCCAGGCAAAGGAGGGAGAGGAGUCUUUCAGACUGAGCCCCACCUUUGGGAAGGCCAGAGGUAGAAAAGAAGGAGUGUUUUAGGGCCUGAAACAAAGGCAAUGUGAUAGAGACACAUAGAGACACAAAGAGAAUAGCAAUGACAGAUGAAGACAGACACUGAGAGGGGAGGGGAGGUGGUGGCAGAAUAUACAAAGUUUUCCAAAAAGGAAGCAUACUGAAGGGUUUUGACAGGGGAGGGACAUGUUCUGACUUACGUUUUUUAAGUUCAUUUUGCUGUGGGAAGAAAGGUUUAGAGGCUAAUAAGAAUGGAAGCAGAUGGAGUCUAAUUAGAAAACUAUUGUUACAUUCCCAAAGAAUAAAGGUAGCUUGGUGUGAUGGAGAAGAUGACAAAGUCUCUCUAGAGCAGGGCUCAGGUAAAACACGCCCUUUGCCUGUUUUUGUGAAGUUUUA
rnacentral:lncRNA from 1 species